rnacentral:rRNA from 1 species
CAGUAGCCGCGGUAAUACGGAGGGUGCGAGCGUUAAUCGGAAUAACUGGGCGUAAAGGGCACGCAGGCGGUUAUUUAAGUGAGGUGUGAAAGCCCCGGGCUUAACCUGGGAAUUGCAUUUCAGACUGGGUAACUAGAGUACUUUAGGGAGGGGUAGAAUUCCACGUGUAGCGGUGAAAUGCGUAGAGAUGUGGAGGAAUACCGAAGGCGAAGGCAGCCCCUUGGGAAUGUACUGACGCUCAUGUGCGAAAGCGUGGGGAGCAAACAAGAUUAGAUACCCCAGUAGUCCCUGUCUCUUAUAC